CGUUCAUCACCUGUGAAGCAAAGCCAAGAAGCGGCCCCUGCAGGCUGGCAGAGCUACCGCUGGUCCUGAAGCCGAGAGACAGUUUCUUAGAGGGAAGUCAGAAGUCGCCCACACAGCCUUCACAGACACCAGCUCUACCAUGACAUUUGAAUACAGUGGCAACUUCCUGUCCCGAAGCCUCGCCUUUUCUGGUACUUCUGCCUGAGGAACUGUAGGAUUCCCAGGAACAUCUUGAGUGAGUUCCCUGCUUCCACGACACCAUGGUGGCAGGUGCCAAACAUCUCCUGGUCAUCUGUGAUGUAUCAAAUCCACAAAUAUCUCUGGAGAAACACCUCUGAAGGGCCAACGGGGUUAGUAGCAAGCAGCCGAAACUGCACCUGAAGCCAAAUGGAGUCUUCCCUUGGGGGUGGCUUUUUGGAUCACCAGAUUUUCCUAGUUUUUCUACAAAGGCUAGAAAAUCAAUUUUCU
rnacentral:lncRNA from 1 species